GGCGGCGUGCCUAACACAUGCAAGUCGAGCGAGGAGAUCCUUCGGGAUGAUCCUAGCGGCGGACGGGUGAGUAACACGUGGGCAACCUGCCUCAUAGAGAGGAAUAGCCUUCCGAAAGGGAGAUUAAUACCUCAUAACAUUGCAGUUUCGCAUGGAACAGCAAUUAAAGGAGUAAUCCGCUAUGAGAUGGGCCCGCGGCGCAUUAGCUAGUUGGUGAGGUAACGGCUCACCAAGGCGACGAUGCGUAGCCGACCUGAGAGGGUGAUCGGCCACAUUGGGACUGAGACACGGCCCAGACUCCUACGGGAGGCAGCAGUGGGGAAUAUUGCACAAUGGGGGAAACCCUGAUGCAAGCAACGCCGCGUGAGUGAUGACGGCCUUCGGGUUGUAAAGCUCUGUCUUCAGGGACGAUAAUGACGGUACCUGAGGAGGAAGCCACGGCUAACUACGUGCCAGCAGCGGC
rnacentral:rRNA from 1 species